CAGAGUAAGACGGCGCGCGUGGAUUAUUCCGUCAGUGCUUCGUGAACGGGGAGUUGUCACGGGGACGAAAGGCUUUGCCUGCGGUGCGCAGUCUGCAUCCCGCUGU
rnacentral:ncRNA from 1 species